CAGUCGCCACGGUAAUACGAGGGGGGCAAGCGUUGUUCGGAAUUAUUGGGCGUAAAGGGUGCGUAGGCGGUUUGACAAGUCUUAUGUGAAAUCUCUGGGCUCAACCCAGAGUCUGCAUGGGAAACUGUCGGGCUUGAGUAUGGGAGAGGUGAGUGGAAUUUCCGGUGUAGCGGUGAAAUGCGUAGAUAUCGGAAGGAACACCUGUGGCGAAAGCGGCUCACUGGACCAUAACUGACGCUGAGGCACGAAAGCUAGGGGAGCAAACAGGAUUAGAGACCCGCGUAGUCCCUGUCUCUUAUAC
rnacentral:rRNA from 1 species